GACGUAGGGUGCAAGCGUUGUCCGGAUUUAUUGGGCGUAAAGAGCUCGUAGGCGGCUCGUUGCGUCAGCUGUGAAAACCCAGGGCUUAACCGUGGGCUUGCAGCUGAUACGGGCAGACUAGAGUGCGGUAGGGGAGAUUGGAAUUCCUGGUGUAGCGGUGGAAUGCGCAGAUAUCAGGAGGAACACCGAUGGCGAAGGCAGAUCUCUGGGCCGUAACUGACGCUGAGGAGCGAAAGCAUGGGGAGCGAACAGG
rnacentral:rRNA from 1 species